rnacentral:rRNA from 1 species
GACGAACGCUGGCGGCGUGCUUAACACAUGCAAGUCGAACGGAAAGGCCCUGCUUUUGCGGGGUGCUCGAGUGGCGAACGGGUGAGUAACACGUGAGUAACCUGCCCUUGACUUUGGGAUAACUUCAGGAAACUGGGGCUAAUACCGGAUAGGAGCUCCUGCUGCAUGGUGGGGGUUGGAAAGUUUCGGCGGUUGGGGAUGGACUCGCGGCUUAUCAGCUUGUUGGUGGGGUAGUGGCUUACCAAGGCUUUGACGGGUAGCCGGCCUGAGAGGGUAACCGGCCACAUUGGGACUGAGAUACGGCCCAGACUCCUACGGGAGGCAGCAGUGGGGAAUAUUGCACAAUGGGCGGAAGCCUGAUGCAGCAACGCCGCGUGCGGGAUGACGGCCUUCGGGUUGUAAACCGCUUUCGCCUGUGACGAAGCGUGAGUGACGGUAAUGGGUAAAGAAGCACCGGCUAACUACGUG